GCUUAACACAUGCAAGUCGAACGGAAAGGCCUGCAGCUUGCUGCGGGUACUCGAGUGGCGAACGGGUGAGUAACACGUGGGUGAUCUGCCUUGCACUUCGGGAUAAGCUUGGGAAACUGGGUCUAAUACCGGAUAGGACAGCUGUUUAGUGUCAGUUGUGGAAAGUUUUUUCGGUGCAAGAUGAGCUCGCGGCCUAUCAGCUUGUUGGUGGGGUAAUGGCCUACCAAGGCGUCGACGGGUAGCCGGCCUGAGAGGGUGUACGGCCACAUUGGGACUGAGAUACGGCCCAGACUCCUACGGGAGGCAGCAGUGGGGAAUAUUGCACAAUGGGCGGAAGCCUGAUGCAGCGACGCCGCGUGGGGGAUGAAGGCCUUCGGGUUGUAAACUCCUUUCGACAGGGACGAAGCUUUUGUGACGGUACCUGUAUAAGAAGCACCGGCUAACUACGUGCCAGCAGCCGCGGUAAUACGUAGGGUGCGAGCGUUGUCCGGAAUUACUGGGCGUAAAGAGCUCGUAGGUGGUUUGUCGCGUCGUCUGUGAAAUUCCGGGGCUUAACUCCGGGCGUGCAGGCGAUACGGGCUGACUUGAGUGCUGUAGGGGAGACUGGAAUUCCUGGUGUAGCGGUGAAAUGCGCAGAUAUCAGGAGGAACACCGAUGGCGAAGGCAGGUCUCUGGGCAGUAACUGACGCUGAGGAGCGAAAGCAUGGGUAGCGAACAGGAUU
rnacentral:rRNA from 1 species